CCUACGGGAGGCUGCAGUGGGGAAUAUUGCACAAUGGGGGAAACCCUGAUGCAGCGACGCCGCGUGAGUGAAGAAGUAUUUCGGUACGUAAAGCUCUAUCAGCAGGGAAGAAAAUGACGGUACCUGACUAAGAAGCACCGGAUAACUACGUGCCAGCAGCCGCGGUAAUACGUAGGGGGCAAGCGUUAUCCGGAUUUACUGGGUGUAAAGGGAGCGUAGACGGCAGCGCAAGUCUGGAGUGAAAUCCCAUGGCUUAACCAUGGAACUGCUUUGGAAACUGUGCGGCUAGAGUGCAGGAGAGGUAAGCGGAAUUCGUGGUGUAGCGGUGAAAUGCGUAGAUAUUAGGAGGAACACCAGUGGCGAAGGCGGCUUACUGGACUGUAACUGACGUUGAGGCUCGAAAGCGUGGGGAGCAAACAGGAUUAGAUACCCCAGUAGUC
rnacentral:rRNA from 1 species